GAGCUACGCUCAAACAACUGGACAAAAAUACAAAGAUGUGGAUCGUUUAUUUUUUGGGGCUUGUGCUAGCGUAAGCUAUCGUUCCUUACCAGUUCCUUGUGACGCAUCCCGCGGACCGCCGCACCGAUCAGCCAGUGCUACAGUGUACUAGCGCCGAGAACGCAUAUUAGACGACACUGUUUAUCUUAGGUUCCUUCAAACUUGUGGCCAAAGAACGUAAUCGGAAGAGGUGACGAGACGAAUGCGUUCUUCAUGGUUAGGAAAAGAAUUGCCAGUGGCAUCCAGUUGUGUGAGGCGCUGACGACAAGAGGUGGAAGCAGACGCCAAAGAAGUCCCACCCCAAGAUGAGUUCAUGGGUCACUCACGAAAUACCGCAAAAACAAUGUGGUGAAGAAUUUAGUCUAUGGACACACGAACAGUACACGGUGCGAUUGGACGAAUAAUAACGUUGGCUGCUGCACAAAGAGAAAGGCCGGAGUAAGGCAAUUCUUGUGUUUUAUAGAGUCCCGAACAGUCACAUGGCAAUAAUCGCCAAGCGUCUUGUAACAUGGAGCCACCUCAGAAUUGCACCAAACAAAGAUGAUGGAUGCAGCCAGUCUUGCCAGAUAACUACAUUUUGACUAUUCUGUAUUGUUUGCAUUUAUUGUGCAAAAGGAAUUCUCGCAGAGAGUUUUAUCUUCAGUGGCCUUCAGUUGACGUCAUCUGCUACAACUAGCACAUAAGUUAACUCCAUAGCACCACUAGGAUGGAGACAUUGUGUCGUGGGAUGCUUCCUUAAAAGUGGGCAAGAAGAUUCUAAAGGAAAAGUGUGAGAUGGUCACAGUAAUAACCAAGGCAUUUGGCAUGGGAAUGACCCAGCUAUGAAGGUAUUAUCAGAUGUGGACAAGCAUAUAAUACUAAAUGGCGCCUUGCACGAGUCCCAAGUGUCAAAUGUAAUGAGUAUUGUGCAUUGAAAGGGCCAAAAAUGUUUUGUACAUGCAAGGGAACACUAUGGGCAUUUGAUAGCAGUUGCUUAGAUGUACUACAUUAAAGGGAACCAAACGAAUUCCCUUAGACAUAAGCAUGCAGCAAAUUCAAGGACUAGAUGAAGCUUCAAAGAAACUGCAUUUCAUGUAGGAUAGGUGUGAAUGACCUUUGUGCAUGAGAUCAGUGACAAAAACACUAAAUGAAUGCAGUACAGUGUCUGUAUCAUAUCUUGUGCAGACCAAACUAGCCUGGAGUUUCAGCAUUCCUUGUCAGUACAUUUAACUAGGCACUACAUUGUUCAAAGUGCUAUAUUGUUCUACAAAACAUAAUAUGCAAGAUGUAGCAUGCUAACCCUCGUGGCUCAACAACUACUGAACCGAAACCUCAAUGAGCAGUGAAGCGUCCUUGUAAUUUUCAUCGUAACCAUACUUUUGCUCUUGAAAGUGAACCUCUUUAGUGAAUUUGCUUGUGUAUUAAUUUUUCUUUAGGAAAGUAUUUUUUAUACAUGUUAAUGUCUCAAUCCUGCUUUCUCUUUCCGGAGCUAAAACAAAAUGCCUCUUAUUUCAAUUUGAUCUUUUGACCUAGGAAGCCAUCAUCUGGUGCUGUGUACAGCAAGCACAUGCUUCGGGCAAGGAGGGAGCCAGCACCACAUCUACAUCAGCAAGAACCUCGGUGCUCAAAAUAAACAUUUUCUGUGCAAA